rnacentral:rRNA from 1 species
GGAAGUAAAAGUCGUAACAAGGUUUCCGUAGGUGAACCUGCGGAAGGAUCAUUAACGAGUUUUGAAGUGGGCUUGAUGCUGGCUCGUAACAGAGCACUGUGCUCAGCCCCGCUCCAAUCCAUUCAACCCCUGUGCACUAUUCGGAGUGUUGCAAGCUGAGACAAUGUGGGAUCAGUUGUGUUUCUAAUGCGACUGGGACCAAACGGUCAAGGCUUGUCCUCCGGUUUAUAUUACAAACACUUUUAUUGUCUUGUAGAAUGUAUUAGCCUCUUGUUAGGCGAAACUUAAAUACAACUUUCAACAACGGAUCUCUUGGCUCUCGCAUCGAUGAAGAACGCAGCGAAAUGCGAUAAGUAAUGUGAAUUGCAGAAUUCAGUGAAUCAUCGAAUCUUUGAACGCACCUUGCGCUCCUUGGCUAUUCCGAGGAGCAUGCCUGUUUGAGUGUCAUGUUAAUAUCAACCCCGACGGUUUUUAACUAUUGGGUGUUGGACUUGGAGGAUAGUGCUGGCUGCAAAGUCGGCUCCUCUUGAAUGCAUUAGCUUUGGACCUGUGCGCGUUUGCUAGCGGUGUAAUACAUUUUAUUCACCACGGGCCGUGUCACUAUUAGGGUCUGCUUCUAAUCGUCCUCACGGACAAUAACUUUAUGACUCUGACCUC